rnacentral:rRNA from 1 species
CCUACGGGAGGCAGCAGUGAGGAAUAUUGGUCAAUGGGCGAGAGCCUGAACCAGCCAAGUAGCGUGAAGGAUGAAGGCUCUAUGGGUCGUAAACUUCUUUUAUAUGGGAAUAAAGUUUUCCACGUGUGGAAUUUUGUAUGUACCAUAUGAAUAAGGAUCGGCUAACUCCGUGCCAGCAGCCGCGGUAAUACGGAGGAUCCGAGCGUUAUCCGGAUUUAUUGGGUUUAAAGGGAGCGUAGGUGGAUUGUUAAGUCAGUUGUGAAAACUAUGGGCUUAACUUGUAGACUGCAGUUGAUACUGGCUGUCUUGAGUACAGUAGAGGUGGGCGGAAUUCGUGGUGUAGCGGUGAAAUGCUUAGAUAUCACGAAGAACUCCGAUUGCGAAGGCAGCCUGCUAAGCUGCAACUGACAUUGAGGCUCGAAAG